GAUGAACGCUGGCGGCGUGCCUAACACAUGCAAGUCGAGCGAUUUACUUCGGUAAAGAGCGGCGGACGGGUGAGUAACGCGUGGGUAACCUGCCCUGUACACACGGAUAACAUACCGAAAGGUAUGCUAAUACGAGAUAAUAUACUUUUAUCACAUGGUAGAAGUAUCAAAGCUUUUGCGGUACAGGAUGGACCCGCGUCUGAUUAGCUAGUUGGUAAGGUAACGGCUUACCAAGGCGACGAUCAGUAGCCGACCUGAGAGGGUGAUCGGCCACAUAGGACCUGAGACACGGUCCAAACUCCUACGGGAGGCAGCAGUGGCGAAUAUUGCACAAUGGGCGAAAGCCUGAUGCAGCAACGCCGCGUGAGCGAUGAAGGCCUUCGGGUCGUAAAGCUCUGUCCUCAAGGAAGAUAAUGACGGUACUUGAGGAGGAAGCCCCGGCUAACUACGUGCCAGCCGCCGCAGUAA
rnacentral:rRNA from 1 species